rnacentral:sRNA from 1 species
UGUUAAAAUAGAAAAAGUGGUGCAUUAUUCUAGUGAUAUUGCCUACUAUGAGGGUGGGGCUAAAAAUCCACUAAAGGGCACAUCGUUGAAGUUUCUUGUUUGUGCGCAAAACGCCCAGUUAUGCGUGUUUUCAGGGAGUAAAGAUUGCCGGGAUAUAUGUAACGGCAUACAUAGAAAGACCCGACAAUCGCGGAGACUUUAUUCAGUAUAGAUUUUAUGCAGUUUGAAGUGUAACCUAUCAUUUUCAUACGGGAUGUAUGGAAAUAUAGAGUAGCCUGUCUUGAGUGAGAGUAUUGGGAUUAGCAUCAAAGAGGUAUCGUAUUUGGCCAAAUGCGAUGUUCCUUCUUGCUAUGAAAUUACGAUUGCAAAAAAGACUAAUAGUAGAACCAAUAUUUUAAGGAAAACUUCUAGAAUGUUUAUUCAGACAUGAAUAGGAAAGUCUAGGGAUUAAGGUACGGAUUUGAGUGGCAAUCUGGUAUUCUCAAAUUUCUGUGAGAAUGUUUUGUUAAAUGGAAACAGCUAAACAGUAAUGUUUAGUACAAAACAGAGAAAUUCGACUAGACCUAAACCGUAAAAUUUACUUAGACUUUUACCACUUAAUCCAUAUAUUUU